rnacentral:misc_RNA from 1 species
GAAAUCUUAAAUUUUGAAGAUAUAUUAUAAUGUCUAAUAACUGUCUAGAAAAAAAAUCAACCGAAUCAGUUGAUUCAUAUUGAUUCACCAGAUUCACUGCUGAAUUGGAAGAUUUUGUCAUGAUUCAAGUAUAUUUGCGAUUCACCCUUUAGAUUUUAAUUGCUAGGUUGGGAAAUCAAAUUGAAUCAUACUAUUCAAAUUGAGAAUCGUAAUUUGUAA